GACGAACGCUGGCGGCGUGCUUAACACAUGCAAGUCGAACGGAAAGGCCCUGCUUUUGUGGGGUGCUCGAGUGGCGAACGGGUGAGUAACACGUGAGUAACCUGCCCUUGACUUUGGGAUAACUUCAGGAAACUGGGGCUAAUACCGGAUAGGAGCUCCUGCUGCAUGGUGGGGGUUGGAAAGUUUCGGCGGUUGGGGAUGGACUCGCGGCUUAUCAGCUUGUUGGUGGGGUAGUGGCUUACCAAGGCUUAGACGGGUAGCCGGCCUGAGAGGGUGACCGGCCACCUGGGGCCUGAGAUACGGCCCAGACUCCUACGGGAGGCAGCAGUGGGGAAUAUUGCACAAUGGGCGGAAGUCUGAUGCAGCAACGCCGCGUGCGGGAUGACGGCCUUCGGGUUGUAAACCGCUUUCGCCUGUGACGAAGCGUGAGUGACGGUAAUGGGUAAAGAAGCACCGGCUAACUACGUG
rnacentral:rRNA from 1 species